rnacentral:rRNA from 1 species
CCUACGGGAGGCAGCAGUGGGGAAUAUUGCACAAUGGGCGCAAGCCUGAUGCAGCGACGCCGCGUGAGGGAUGACGGCCUUCGGGUUGUAAACCUCUUUCAGUAGGGACGAAGCGAAAGUGACGGUACCUACAGAAGAAGGACCGGCCAACUACGUGCCAGCAGCCGCGGUAAU